rnacentral:rRNA from 1 species
AACGAACGCUGGCGGCAUGCCUAACACAUGCAAGUCGAACGAGACCUUCGGGUCUAGUGGCGCACGGGUUCGUAACGCGUGGGAACCUGCCCUUAGGUUCGGAAUAACUCCCCGAAAGGGGUGCUAAUACCGGAUAAUGUCUUCGGACCAAAGAUUUAUCGCCUUUGGAUGGGCCCGCGUUGGAUUAGCUAGUUGGUAGGGUAAAAGCCUACCAAGGCGACGAUCCAUAGCUGGUCUGAGAGGAUGAUCAGCCACACUGGGACUGAGACACGGCCCAGACUCAUACGGGAGGAAGCAGUGGGGAAUAUUGGACAAGGGGCGAAAGCCUGAGCCAGCAAUGCCGCGUGAGUGAUGAAGGCCUUAGGGUUGUAAAGCUCUUUUACCCGGGAGGAUAAUGACAGUACCGGGAGAAUAAGCUCCGGCUAACUCCGUG